GUGGGGAAUAUUGGACAAUGGGCGAAAGCCUGAUACAGCCAUGCCGCGUGUGUGAAGAAGGUCUUCGGAUUGUAAAGCACUUUAAGUUGGGAGGAAGGGCAGUAAGUUAAUACCUUGCUGUUUUGACGUUACCGACAGAAUAAGCACCGGCUAACUUCGUGCCAGCAGCCGCGGUAAUACGAAGGGUGCAAGCGUUAAUCGGAAUUACUGGGCGUAAAGCGCGCGUAGGUGGUUUUGUAAGUUGGAGGUGAAAUCCCCGGGCUCAACCUGGGAACUGCCUCCAAAACUGCAUGACUAGAGUACGGUAGAGGGUAGUGGAAUUUCCUGUGUAGCGGUGAAAUGCGUAGAUAUAGGAAGGAACACCAGUGGCGAAGGCGACUACCUGGACUGAUACUGACACUGAGGUGCGAAAGCGUGGGGAGCAAACAGGAUUAGAAACCCGUGUAGUCC
rnacentral:rRNA from 1 species